rnacentral:rRNA from 1 species
UUCGACCUCAAAUCAGGUAGGACUACCCGCUGAACUUAAGCAUAUCAAUAAGCGGAGGAAAAGAAACCAACAGGGAUUGCCUUAGUAGCGGCGAGUGAAGCGGCAAAAGCUCAAAUUUGAAAUCUGGCACUUUCAGUGUCCGAGUUGUAAUUUGAAGAAGGUAUCUUUGGGUCUGGCUCUUUGUCUACGUUUCGUUGCAAC